GCAGUACAAUUAAUGAUUUUCCCAAAACAAACAAAAUGGCGGAAAGGCAUUUUAAACACAAAUGUGAAAUGAAAUUGCCGUGGAGGAAUUAGAUGAAAAUACGAGCAAAAGUACCAAAUUUUGCUUGAACAAAAUAACUAAAUGAAAAUACAAACAAAAGCACCAAAUUUUGGUUGAAAGUCUGGCAGGACUGGGCUUUGGCGAGAGAAUAUGAUGUUGACAUUGAGAAGUACGUAUCAUGCAAUGUUGUCAUGCUAAUAAUAAACAAGUAAUCAUGCGAUGUCGCUCGUACAAUUAGGGAUUAAUAGUACUCGUG